AUUGAACGCUGGCGGCAGGCCUAACACAUGCAAGUCGAGCGGUAGCACAGAAGAGCUUGCUCUUUGGGUGACGAGCGGCGGACGGGUGAGUAAUGUCUGGGAAACUGCCUGAUGGAGGGGGAUAACUACUGGAAACGGUAGCUAAUACCGCAUAACCUCGCAAGAGCAAAGAGGGGGACCUUCGGGCCUCUCGCCAUCAGACGUGCCCAGAUGGGAUUAGCUAGUAGGUGAGGUAAUGGCUCACCUAGGCGACGAUCCCUAGCUGGUCUGAGAGGAUGACCAGCCACACUGGAACUGAGACACGGUCCAGACUCCUACGGGAGGCAGCAGUGGGGAAUAUUGCACAAUGGGCGCAAGCCUGAUGUAGCCAUGCCGCGUGUGUGAAGAAGGCCUUCGGGUUGUAAAGCACUUUCAGCGGGGAGGAAGGCGGUAAGGUUAAUAACCUUAUCGAUUGACGUUACCCGCAGAUGAAGCACCGGCUAACUCCGUGCCAGCCGCCGCGGUAA
rnacentral:rRNA from 1 species